rnacentral:rRNA from 1 species
CCUACGGGAGGCAGCAGUGAGGAAUAUUGGUCAAUGGACGAGAGUCUGAACCAGCCAAGUAGCGUGAAGGAUGACUGCCCUAUGGGUUGUAAACUUCUUUUAUAAAGGAAUAAAACGAGGCACGUGUGCCUUUUUGCAUGUACUUUAUGAAUAAGGAUCGGCUAACUCCGUGCCAGCAGCCGCGGUAAUACGGAGGAUCCGAGCGUUAUCCGGAUUUAUUGGGUUUAAAGGGAGCGUAGAUGGGUUGUUAAGUCAGUUGUGAAAGUUUGCGGCUCAACCGUAAAAUUGCAAUUGAUACUGGAAGUCUUGAGUGCAGUUGAGGUAGGCGGAAUUCGUGGUGUAGCGGUGAAAUGCUUAGAUAUCACGAAGAACCCCGAUUGCGAAGGCAGCUUACUAAGCUGUGACUGACAUUGAUGCUCGAAAGUGUGGGUAUCAAACAGGAUUAGAUACCCUUGUAGUC